rnacentral:sRNA from 1 species
UUCUAGUGGAUAUAAGUAAAAGUAGC